UGCCAUGACUAAACUGACUGUUCUUGGCAAUGUGAAAUAACGUUUAUCAGAUUGAUAAGUCAGAAGUUUGUGUUGCAUAGAACUUGGGAAGCAGGAAAGUUGCAAAACUAAAAUGCAAAGAAGCAGAGUAAAAGCAGCAUGUUGGGCUGGUUUGAGCACUGAUGGAGUACACUGUGACUCUGGUGCUAAUGAAGCUUACUUCGGUGGAGGAACAAAGUUAACUGUUUUAGGUAAGAAAUCAAAUCAAUUGAAAAAAAUAGCACUGUACUUAGAGUGUUUCUUACUGUACUUAAGUCUAGUUUACCAAAGAAGCAAAGUAAAAGCAGCAUGUUGGGCUGGUUUGAGCACCGAUAAGGUGCACUGUGGCUCUGGUGGUUAUGAAGCUUACUUCGGUGGAGGAACAAAGUUAACCGUUUUGGAACCAGACCAUGCUAUCAACCCACCAACAGUGAAGGUGCUUGAACCUUCAUCAAAGGAGUGUCGGAAGCAGACAGACGGAGAGAGGAAGAAGACCAUUGUCUGUGUGGCCAGUGGAUUCUACCCGGACCAUGUCACUGUUGACUGGGAGAUCGACGGGGAGACUCAAACCGCUGGUGUGGCCACUGAUCAGGCUGCCCAGCGGGAAGGCAAGACGUACAGAAUCACCAGCAGGCUGAGGGUCCCUAGAGAAUACUGGUUCACACUCGGCAAAAACUUCACCUGCAUCGUCAACUUCUACAAUGGAAGUGCAAGAAAUCCUUAUCCCGAGACAGUUCUGGGUGUUGAAGGUGAAGAAGAAGGCGGCAUGACAAGAGAGGAUUAUAUGAAGAUCUCCCAGACGGCCAAACUCUCCUACGGUCUUCUAAUCAUCAAGAGCAGCCUCUAUGGAGCCUUUGUGGCCUUUUUGGUGUGGAAGCUUCAGAAAAAAGGAAAACAGAACUACAGAGAGCUGAGCCCUGAACAAAGGAAAUCUAUGGGGAACAACAGUGGUGAAUUCUAUAAAUAAAAAAAA